CCAAUAGCGUAUAUUAAAGUUGUUGCAGUUAAAAAGCUCGUAGUUGAAUUUCGGGAUUGACGUGACGGUCGUGCCUUAAGGGGUAUGAACUGUCGCCGUUGAUUUCUCACCUUCUGGAGAAACUCGAUGCACUUUAUUGGGUGUCUUGCGGAUACAGGACCUUUACCUUGAAAAAAUUAGAGUGUUUAAAGCAGGCAUUUUUGCUCGAAUACAUUAGCAUGGAAUAAUAAAAUAGGACGGCUUGGUUCUAUUUUGUUGGUUUCUAGGAUCACCGUAAUGAUUAAUAGGGAUAGUUGGGGGCAUUAGUAUUCAAUUGUCAGAGGUGAAAUUCUUGGAUUUAUUGAAGACUAACUACUGCGAAAGCAUUUGCCAAGGAUGUUUUCAUUAAUCAAGAACGAAAGUUAGGGGAUCGAAGACGAUCAGAUACCGUCGUAGUCUUAACCAUAAACUAUGCCUACUAGGAAUCAGACGAUGUUAAUUUUUUAAUGACUCGUUUGGCACCUUACG
rnacentral:rRNA from 1 species